CCCUACGGGGCGCAGCAGUGGGGGAUAUUGGACAAUGGGGGAAACCCUGAUCCAGCGACGCCGCGUGAGUGAAGAAGUAUUUCGGUAUGUAAAGCUCUGUCAGCAGGGAAGAAAGAAAUGACGGUACCUGACCAAGAAGCCCCGGCUAACUACGUGCCAGCAGCCGCGGUAAUACGUAGGGGGCAAGCGUUAUCCGGAUUUACUGGGUGUAAAGGGAGCGUAGACGGCGAUGCAAGCCAGAUGUGAAAGCGCGGGGCUCAACCCCGGGACUGCAUUUGGAACUGUGAGGCUGGAGUGCUGGAGAG
rnacentral:rRNA from 1 species